rnacentral:rRNA from 1 species
AACGAACGCUGGCGGCAGGCCUAACACAUGCAAGUCGAGCGAAGCCUUCGGGCUUAGCGGCGGACGGGUGAGUAACGCGUGGGAACGUGCCCUUUGGUACGGAAUAGCCCCGGGAAACUGGGAGUAAUACCGUAUGUGCCCUUCGGGAGAAAGAUUUAUCGCCAAAGGAUCGGCCCGCGUUGGAUUAGGUAGUUGGUGGGGUAAUGGCCUACCAAGCCGACGAUCCAUAGCUGGUUUGAGAGGAUGAUCAGCCACACUGGGACUGAGACACGGCCCAGACUCCUACGGGAGGCAGCAGUGGGGAAUCUUAGACAAUGGGGGAAACCCUGAUCUAGCCAUGCCGCGUGAUCGAUGAAGGCCUUAGGGUUGUAAAGAUCUUUCAGUGGGGAAGAUAAUGACUGUACCCACAGAAGAAGCCCCGGCUAACUCCGUGCCAGCCGCCGCCGUAAAAC